AUUUAGUUUCUGAGGACACAGGCCUUGUGUUAGUGCAAAUUUAAGAGUGAUAGUUUUUUUUUUUUUUUUUUGCUCUAAUCUGUCUAGCUUCUAGAUAAUCAAGACAGAGGCUAUUAGAUUUAUUCAACAAGCCUUAAGGCACAAUAACUGAGCAGAUAUUAAUCUAUUCUAACCCUCUAAACUAAUCUAGCUACUUUCCAGCCCAAAUUCCCAAUAUACUUUUAGUAUUUUAGUAUUGAUUUUAGGAUUUUAAUAUUGAUUUGGCUCUCUCUGCCUGCUCCAUUUGUGUUCUCAUGGUGACUCCUGGUCCCUCACCACCUGGAGAAACCUCUCCUUCUUCUUCCACUACCCCUGCCCUGGCGGGGACUGGAAGUCCAGCCCUGUCAUCUCCUCUGCCCAGUGAUUGGCUGAUCAGCUUUUUAUCCACCCACCAGAGCUAAUUGGGGAGCAGUGUUUACACAACGCUGAGACAGGAGAUUCUUAGAAGAAGCACUACAAUGCCAUGUCGGAAUUGCAACAAGAUAUGAGGGCCCCGAAAUCAGUAUUUGAAUGAUACACGGAUAGUCGUCACACAGGGCACAAUAACAUUAUGCCAACAGCCUUGCUUUUAGACCACUGAGCAAAACCAGCUCUCCAAGCAUCUGUGGUCUGACCAAAGCCAGGCAACUGUGCUCAUCCAUCUCAGCAUACUUGUUGGUGGCCUAGAACUGGCACUCUGCCUCAUCAUGAUGCAAAUGGUAGUUUCAGGGAGGUGUGCUUUCCACAGAGUCAUUUGCUUAUACAACCUAGGAGGUGAUGAGGAGAUGGAAGGGUCUGGUCUGGGGUGGGUGGGCUGUGUGACUCUGAAAGGCCAGUGUGUGUUCGGAGGUGGACAGCACACCUGGAGCUGCACUGCUGGAAGGCUCAGACAUCUAGCUGGAGGAGAUGAUUCCAAUUGCACUCGCCACUUUAGGUCUGUGUCCAGAAAUGUAAGAAGCGAUGGAAAGUGCUAGGGUUCCUUUGUGUCCCAAGCUCUCUGGUUCUAACCCUGACUGACUUGUAGACCAUGUGAAUGAGGCUUUGAAGGUGUCCUUAGAGAUGUUUUCAUUCCCAGAAGCUUGGUGGCUUGCUUUGAGUUGCUUGUCAGGGACAGUGCAGAGUGACAGUGGAUUACAUAAAACCAGAGUUUAUCCAUCUGUCAGGUAGGAGUCCACAGUGGCAGCUGUGGGAAGUCAAGGACUCGGGCACUUCCUGUGACAUUCUGCCACCUAAGCAUAGGACUUUGAUGUUAUUGUCAGUAUGGCUGUUGAUUUCCUGAACCAUCCCUGCGGGAGUCAUACUCUGGGCUCUUUCCAGUAGAGGUUCCUGCUUAAUCCUGUUGUCCAGAAAAUAGUCACAUGGGCACAAGGUAGGUGGCGAAAUGUAGCGCUCACCCCAGCAAGCAAUGAACGGUAGGUCAGUGACUGUGGGCAAAGUAAAAGAGAUCAGAUGCGGGGUGAACACUUACUUCUGCCUCACUAGGAUCUUCAGGACAUUCAAACCUUACUGGCCCUUAAUGUGGAGGUAAUGGUUGCAUUUGGCCCAGACAGUCCCGAAGCAGCUUCCUGAUAGCCGCAGGAAUUGAGGCCAAGUGUCACUACCAUCUCAGCAUUAAGACUCAGAUACAUUUUUAGAGUCCCCUCUCUAAAUUGCUUCAUAUACUGCCUAGGAAACACUUAGGGUGUCUGUGAAGGUGCAUAUUCAUAAGUGCUCUGGCAAUUAACACUCCACCCACCCCCUCUUUCUUCUCCUCCCCCCUCCCCCUUGUCUUCCUCCUCUCCCUUCCCUUCCCCUCCCUCCCUCUCUCUCAUCUUCCCCCCACUCCCUCCUCUUCUCCAUCUCCUCAUGCCUUCUCUCUGGCCUAACAGCAAACACGAUAUUUUCACUUUAGAAGACAGUGUACCCUGAGAGGAAUAAAAAUAAUUUUCUUCCAACCUGAUGGUGCCAAACUCAUAACAGAACAACCCGACCCGGCAUUGAGAAGUUGUCUAGCAUGCACAACAGUUCAGGGCAUAGCAGAAGCCUAGAUCCAGUGUACCAGUGGGAACAGGACAGACCCAGCCUUGCCCCCUGAGGGAGGUCUAGAAUACCUUAAGUCUUGAAUCCAAAGCGGCCACAUCUCACAGGUCUUAGGAGUGUUUUUGGUCAUUCAGCGUUUUGCUUUCUCUUGACGCAGCUGUGCUCAGUAAUUGGGUGUCCCGUUUUUAGUGCAGUCUCACCAUUAGCAUUCUGCAUGUUCCAAACUUCAUUGGGUUUUGAUGGGCCCAUUCUUCAUACACCCACCCGUUCCCCAACAAACACACAGGCAGAAUCUAUGAAUCUACAUUAAAAUUUGUGUUAAAGGCGGGCUGAGAGCAAGUGUCUACCUGUACUGAAUGUAUUGUUACUAAUAAGAAUUAAAGGUCUGGAGAUGGCUCAGCUAGUCAAAGUGCUUGCCGGGUAAGCCUGACUACAUGAAUUCCACUUGGGUAUAGUGACAAGCCUGGUAACUUCUCGGGCGCCAUCUCUCAAUAGCUGCAAUCUUGACAAGUCACCAUGUUCCUCGAUAUCCCAGGUUUUAGUUUCUUGAGGUACAAACAGAGGUGCCUCCCAUGUGCUAUUGGGAGAACUGGCCUGUGCUUCAGGGUCUGUGUGGGACAGAUCCAGCCUGCAUGGUCUCAGUGACACACAUUUCAUUUGUACAUGCAUGUGUGUGUCUGUGGAUGUCUUGGUGUGUGAGUACGUGUGUGUGUCUAUGUGUACAUGUGUGUGUAUGUGUGUGUCUUUAUGUGUGUGUGCAUAUGUGUGUAUGUAUAUGUGUGUACAUGUAUGUGCAUGUGUGUAUGAGUGUGUAUGUGUGUACAUGUAUGUGCAUGCGUGUGUGUGUGUGUGUGUGCAUGUGUGUGUGUCUUUAUGUAUGCAUGCAUGUGUGUGUCUGUGUGUAUGUGUAUGUAUGUGCAUAUAUGUGCAUGUGUGUGUGUGAGUUGUCAUUCCAGUUGAUGUCUAGGAGUUCCGGAAUGAAAUGAUAGAACGUAGCAGUUGGAUUUGUAUAUCAAUCUUGUGUGGAACUCGUGGCCAAAGAGGCAGCCCUGAGGAAUUGUGUAUGUAUGACUCUGCAUGUGUGUCAUCCUCAGCACUUGAUGGCAGCACCGACUCUCAGGACCUGUCUCAGACAUGUAGAUGGAGGCCCAGCCAUUGGUGCUUUAACCAGAUGUGCAGAGGACCUGAAUGUGCAGUAUUAGCAUCUGAGAGCUGGCACCAACCUCAGACCUCAUUGGAUCUCAUAUUUCCUUGUGGACCCCCUGCCCCCCUUCUGACUCAGUGAUUCUGGACUUCAGCUCAGGCUGAGACUUUAAGUAAGACUCUGCUCUGUGGAGCUGGGGAGGUAGGAUAGCUCAGCAGGUAGAGUGCUUGCUGUGCAAACCCUGAGGACCUAUUCAGGCAUGUUGCUUGUGUUUAUAAUACCAGAGCCUUGGCAUAGGAGACAGGUGAAUCCUUGGGUCUGCUGGCCAGCCCAUCUCACCUAAUGUACAGAUUCCAGUCCAAUGGAAGAGCCUGCCUC
rnacentral:lncRNA from 1 species